rnacentral:rRNA from 1 species
GACGAACGCUGGCGGCGUGCUUAACACAUGCAAGUCGAACGCUGAAGUUCAGCUUUUGUUGGGUGGAUGAGUGGCGAACGGGUGAGUAACACGUGAGUAACCUGCCCCCUUCUUUGGGAUAACGCCCGGAAACGGGUGCUAAUACUGGAUAUUCACUGGUCUUCGCAUGGGGGUUGGUGGAAAGGGUUUUUCUGGUGGGGGAUGGGCUCGCGGCCUAUCAGCUUGUUGGUGGGGUGAUGGCCUACCAAGGCUUUGACGGGUAGCCGGCCUGAGAGGGUGACCGGGAACAGUGGGACGGAGAUACGGCCCAGACUAGUACGGGAGGCAGCAGUGGGGAAUAUUGCACAAUGGGCGCAAGCCUGAUGCAGCGACGCCGAGGGAGGGAUGGAGGCCUUCGGGUUGUGAACCUCUUUCGCUCAUGGUCAAGCCGCAACAAUGGUUGUGGUGAGGGUAGUGGGUAAAGAAGCGCCGGCUAACUACGUG